CAAAAUUAACUACCUCCUUCGGUAUGUAAAAUCUUAUUUCUCAGUGCAAUCAACUUCACAUAUAUAAUUCUUCAAGAUUAAAAUUUUUUUCUCCUUUUAUUAUUAGAAGGUUUGGAUACAAAAGGCUUUGCAAUCAUUUGGAAAAUUGCUACCCGUUUUCUUGUUUUCUAAUUUUUGAUGUUGCAAUUUUUCCUAGUAAAGUUGGUUUAAUAGGCAUGAGAAGUGACCCAAAAAGCUUAAAGUGUUUUAUAAGUUUGUGUUAAAGUGGGCUCCGAAUGCUCUAAAAUCUGAAUUUGUAUGCAUAGCCGGGUUGGUAAUUAGUAACAUAGUUAGCAUACCUUUAGGUUUCUGUUCACUCUAUGUCUUCAGACGUUUGUCAUGUUUUGUGUACUGGCUUCCAUGUAACCUCCUAUUUGUUGAUUGUUGGAUAAUUCUCUUUCUUUUGUGCAACAUUUACUGGAGGAGCUUGGUUCCCGGGGUAAGGUGACUUAUCUUUUUGUUGUAAUGGUAAAAAAUUUUGCUUGUCAUACCCAAAUAAUUACAGCAUAGCUUCCAUAUGGCUCUUUCAUUCUUGUCUAAUACUUUUGGUUUAUGCAAGGUAAGUUUCUGUAUCACAAAGAAUGAUGAGUAAAAACAUCAAGAAAAAGUGUUCAGAUUUUAACACAGAAUGAAUGGAUGAAACUAUAUGAAAAAAGGAUUUUUAUUUUUUUCCUCCUUGAUUGGGCUUGUGAACAAGUUCGUACUCCCCAAAAUGUAUAUAGGGGUGGAACUAGAAAUAUAGCUUAACUUGUCCACAAACCUGAUUGAUUUAUUCACUGCCUUUCUUGUAAUGCUUGUUUGUUUGUUAUCUUGUAAUAUCAUCACACAAUAAAGGUUUAGGUUCAAUCUAAUUACAAAUUUAUGUUUAAUCUUGCAAGUCAUCUGUAGAUCAUAAUGUUUAGUUGUUUUGUUAAACUCUUGUUUGGUUUUGACAGGGAGAUCAAUAAGGCAUUUUGUG
rnacentral:misc_RNA from 1 species